CGGAUAGAGCCAGAGUUGCAUAAC
rnacentral:siRNA from 1 species